rnacentral:snRNA from 1 species
GUGCUCACUUGGCAGCAUACAUACUAAAAAUGGAUGAUACAGAGAAAAUUAACAUGGUCCCUGUGUAAGGAUGACAUGCACAUUUGUGAAGCAUUCCAUAUAUUU